AUCCGAGUUCCUGUACGAUCAAUGAAGUUAAGCAACGUCGAGCCUGGUCAGUACCUAGAGAGGUGACCGCUUGGGAAUACCAAGUGUUGUAAG